rnacentral:rRNA from 1 species
GACGAACGCUGGCGGCGUGCUUAAUACAUGCAAGUGGAGCGACGAACCAAGGGCUUCGGCCUGGGGCAGAGCCGCGAACGGGUGAGUAACACGUGGGUAACCUGCCUCGAGUGACCGGGACGAAACCCGGGGAAACCCGGGCUAAUACCGGAUGUGCUGUCCCCACGAUCAGUGGAGACAGGAAAAGGAGCGUUCGGCCUCCGCAUCGAGAUGGGCCCGCGGCCCAUUACG